AUGCCGACGGUUAAACAACUUAUUAGAAAUGCAAGACAGCCAAUACAAAAUGCUCGAAAAACGGCCGCGCUUAAAGGAUGCCCUCAGCGUCGAGGAACAUGUGCUAGGGUGUAUGUGCGACUCGUUCAGAUCAUGACUUCAAACAAAUAUAAAAAAAUUGAAGUAUCCAUGAUUAGCUUCCUUUAUGAGCGAGACUCUAUCCAGAUCUACUGA
rnacentral:rRNA from 1 species